AAUUUUGGACAAUGGGGGAAACCCUGACCCAGCCAUCCCGCGAGUUCGAUGAAGGCCUGCGGGUUGUAAAGCACUUUUGUCAGGGAAGAAAGGGUUCUGGCUAAGACGAGGAACUGCUGACGGUAUCUGCAGAAGAAGAGCCGGACAACCACGUGCCAGCCGCCGCGGUAAUACGUAGGGUGCAAGCGUUAAUCGGAAUUACUGGGCGUAAAGCGUGUGUAGGCGGUUCGGAAAGAAAGAUGUGGAAUCCCAGGGCUCCACCUUGGAACUGCAUUUUUAACUGCCGAGCUAGAGUAUGUCAGAGGGGGGUAGAAUUCCACGUGUAGCAGUGAAAUGCGUAGAUAUGUGGAGAAAUACCGAUGGCGAAGACAGCCCCCUGGGAUAAUACUGACGCUCAGACACGAAAGCGUGGGGAGCAAACAG
rnacentral:rRNA from 1 species